ACAUGUCCGCAUGAUUAAAGGUAUUUUCCGGUAGACGAUGGGGAUGCGUUCCAUUAGAUAGUAGGCGGGGUAACGGCCCACCUAGUCAACGAUGGAUAGGGGUUCUGAGAGGAGGGUCCCCCACAUUGGAACUGAGACACGGUCCAAACUCCUACGGGAGGCAGCAGUGAGGAAUAUUGGUCAAUGGGCGAUGGCCUGAACCAGCCAAGUAGCGUGAAGGAUGACUGCCCUAUGGGUUGUAAACUUCUUUUAUAAAGGAAUAAAGUCGGGUAUGCAUACCCGUUUGCAUGUACUUUAUGAAUAAGGAUCGGCUAACUCCGUGCCAGCAGCCGCGGUAAUACGGAGGAUCCGAGCGUUAUCCGGAUUUAUUGGGUUUAAAGGGAGCGUAGAUGGAUGUUUAAGUCAGUUGUGAAAGUUUGCGGCUCAACCGUAAAAUUGCAGUUGAUACUGGAUGUCUUGAGUGCAGUUGAGGCAGGCGGAAUUCGUGGUGUAGCGGUGAAAUGCUUAGAUAUCACGAAGAACUCCGAUUGCGAAGGCAGCCUGCUAAGCUGCAACUGACAUUGAGGCUCGAAAGUGUGGGUAUCAAACAGGAUUAGAUACCCUGGUAGUCCACACGGUAAACGAUGAAUACUCGCUGUUUGCGAUAUACGGCAAGCGGCC
rnacentral:rRNA from 1 species